rnacentral:rRNA from 1 species
GAGUAAUACUUGGGAAUGUGCCUUUACGUGGGGGAUAACUAUUGGAAACGAUAGCUAAUACCGCAUAAUGUCUACGGACCAAAGGGGGGACUUGUUCCUCUCGCGUAAAGAGCAGCCCAAGCGAGAUUAGCUAGUUGGUGUGGUAAAGGCGCACCAAGGCGACGAUCUCUAGCUGUUCUGAGAGGAAGAUCAGCCACACUGGAACUGAGACACGGUCCAGACUCCUACGGGAGGCAGCAGUGGGGAAUAUUGCACAAUGGGGGAAACCCUGAUGCAGCCAUGCCGCGUGUGUGAAGAAGGCCUUCGGGUUGUAAAGCACUUUCAGUCGUGAGGAAAGGGAUACGGUUAAUACCCGUAUUCUGUGACGUUAGCGACAGAAGAAGCACCGGCUAACUCCGUGCCAGCAGCCGCGGUAAUACGGAGGAUCCAAGCGUUAUCCGGAAUCAUUGGGUUUAAAGGGUCCGUAGGUGGAUAAUUAAGUCAGAGGUGAAAGUCUGCAGCUCAACUGUAGAAUUGCCUUUGAUACUGGUUAUCUUGAGUUAUUAUGAAGUAGUUAGAAUAUGUAGUGUAGCGGUGAAAUGCAUAGAUAUUACAUAGAAUACCAAUUGCGAAGGCAGAUUACUAAUAAUCAACUGACACUGAUGGACGAAAGCGUGGGGAGCGAACAGGAUUAGAUACCCUGGUAGUCCACGCCGUAAACGAUGGUUACUAGCUGUUCGAACUUCGGUUUGAGUGGCUAAGCGAAAGUGAUAAGUAACCCACCUGGGGAGUACGUUCGCAAGAAUGAAACUCAAAGGAAUUGACGGGGGCCCGCACAAGCGGUGGAGCAUGUGGUUUAAUUCGAUGAUACGCGAGGAACCUUACCAGGGCUUAAAUGUAGUGUGACAGGACUAGAGAUAGUUUUUUCUUCGGACACAUUACAAGGUGCUGCAUGGUUGUCGUCAGCUCGUGCCGUGAGGUGUCAGGUUAAGUCCUAUAACGAGCGCAACCCCUGUUGUUAGUUGCCAGCGAGUCAUGUCGGGAACUCUAACAAGACUGCCGGUGCAAACCGUGAGGAAGGUGGGGAUGACGUCAAAUCAUCACGGCCCUUACGUCCUGGGCUACACACGUGCUACAAUGGUAGGGACAGAGAGCAGCCACUGGGCGACCAGGAGCGAAUCUAUAAACCCUAUCACAGUUCGGAUCGGAGUCUGCAACUCGACUCCGUGAAGUCGGAAUCGCUAGUAAUCGCAGGUCAGCAUACUGCGGUGAAUACGUUCCCGGGCCUUGUACACACCGCCCGUCACACCAUGGGAGUGGGAUGCAAAAGAAGUGGAUAGUCUAACCUUCGGGAGGACGUUCACCACUUUGUGUUUCAUGACUGGGGUGAAGUCGGAACAAGGUAACCCUAGGGGAACCUGGGGUUGGAUCACCUCCUU